rnacentral:rRNA from 1 species
AUUGAACGCUGGCGGCAGGCCUAACACAUGCAAGUCGAGCGAGCGGCGGACGGGUGAGUAAUGUAUGGGGAUCUGCCCGAAAGAGGGGGAUAACUACUGGAAAUGGUGGCUAAUACUGCAUACUAUCGGAUGAACCAAUAUGGGAUUCGCUAGUAGGUGGGGUAAAGGCUCAUCUAGGCGACGAUCUGUAGCCGGUAUGAGAGGCUGAUCAGCCACACUGGGACUGAGACACGGCCCAGAGUCUUACGGGAGGCAGCAGUGGGGAAUAUUGCACAAUUGGUGCAAGCCUGAUGCAGCCAUGCCGCGUGUAUGAAGAAGGCCUUAGGGUUGUAAAGUACUUUCAGCGGGGAGGCGUUACCCGCAGAAGAAGCACCGGCUAACUCCGUGCCAGCAGCCGCGGUAAUUC